CUUUGGACUUUCCACUACAGGUGAGGUCAGGGCUCCUUUAUCAGGCAAACUGCUGACCAGACAACAAGCUGCAGAUUGCUGCCCAUUCUGAGACUGCAGCUACAACUUUAACUCCUUCCUGUGAACCGGUUUGUUGGAGGUCACGUGAAAUCUUUGCUGAGCCCUUUGCAAAGGAGAAGCUGACUUGAGGUGCUGAAGGCCAACCAGUGCCCGCUCCUGAACCAGCCACCCUGCUUCAGCUCACCUCAUGCUACCCUGGACCGGGCAUCAGUGCCAGCACCUGAGAGCCCACGCUCCGUGGCAGAUCAGGGGGAUGAUCUGCAAUAAAAAAUGACCUGGUAAGAUACGCUUCCUUGUUUCUGAGUGUGCGUGCUCAAAAGCGGGCUCGGUUUCACUGCGUGAUCCAUGGAAAAGCUGUACCAAGGUCAGUGCUGGAGCACAGGCAGGCAGCAGCAAGGGGUGAAAUGGAGCAUCCCUGGGAGCCAGGAGGGAAAACAACACUCACUGAUAUUGCUGCCCAUGAUACUGACUUCUGAAGCCGCUGCCUUAGAGCAAAGCAGCAGCUCAGUUAGUGCCUGGAGUCUGGUCCUUAGUGAGGCUGUUCCUACUAUUUACAUCUUUUUGCUUACAGCUUUAUUCUCAGCAACAGGUUAGUCAUUCCCUUGGCAAGUUUAUUGCUGUAAAUUUGCUUAUAUGCAGUUAUUCAAAAGUCAGCGUGUCAUGCUUUAAUUUAAUCUAAUCUCUUUGUUUAAACGAGAAACCCUGACCUUUUAUCAUCACAGUCACUAUAAUUACAACAACACUUUAACUAAAAAAGCCUUCAACUAAGUUUACAUUUAACUCAGUCAUUGUUUGUUUCCUGCAAAAUGUUUCUGUAAUUAAUUUCAUUGGGUUUGACCUGAAGCCUAUGGAGGUGAAUGCAGAGACUUUCAUCAUCCUGAACAGGCUGCAGAUCAGACAGCCCGUGACUGCUCGAAGAGGCAGGGGUAAAGGACUUGAAAUGGAAACCACCUGGUUUGCUGUGUGUUUUUGGAGGGUUUUUUUCACAUAGCAGCAUCAAACUAAUGGCAGUGCUGCAGAGGUGGAAACUCGUGUAGACACAGCCCUGGAAAGCAGAAGUUUACACUCUAUUUCCAAUAAGAGUACUAUGCCAACCAUAGAGCAAGCUGCACUGUGUUACACUCAGACACCCUCCAAGAUACAACGAGAGACGGAAGGGGAGCUCUGUGGCAGAACUGGGACUAAAAUGCAGAUAAUGUGAG
ensembl:lncRNA